rnacentral:lncRNA from 1 species
UGUGGGAGAAAAUAUUUGCAAAUCAGAAAUUCUGAUAAAAGAUCUAAUCCAGAAUAUGUAAAGAACUCUAAAACCUCAAUAAUGAGAAAACAAUAUAAUUUAAAAUGGGCAAAAGAUCUGAAGACACUUCGUCAUAGUAGAUAUACAGAUGGCGAACAAACACGUGAAAAGAUAUUCAUCAUCAAAACUAACAGGAAAGUGGAAAUUAAAACCCCUAGAUAGCAUUACACACACAUUAGAAUACCCAAAAUCCAGAAACAGACAACAAAUCCUGGUAAUGUGGAACAAGAAAUCUCAUUUGUUACUAGUGGGAAUACAAAAUGGCACAUUCAGUUUAUAAGAAACUGCCAAGGCUGGGGCGGUGGCUCACAUGGAUGAAUCUUAAUGCAUUCUGUUAAGUGAAAAAAGCCAGACUCAAAGUGUUACAUGUUGUAUGAUUCCAUUCACAUGACUUCUGGAAAUGGCAAAACUAUAGUGAUGGAAAAUGAUUAGAUUGCCAGCAGUUGGUAGUGAGGGGAGUUGUUGAUUAUAAAGUGGAAGCAAAGCGAAAUUUUUAGGGUAAAGGAGUUGUUGUGUAUGGUACUAUAGGAUACAUGUGUCAUAAAUUUGUUUAAUAUAGUUGCUGCCUCAGCAUUCAUCCUUAGGCUUGACAUAAGUUUCUGAAAUGCCUCUCACCCUUGGCAUAGUUAAAACUUCUCCUUGCUGUGUGGCUGUUUGCCAUAUGGCCUGCUUCUUCCUCAUCUCAUUGACCCAAAGCCCACAACAUUCCAAACUGCAGAUCAUAAUAAAACCUAACAGUCAACACCAGAGUCAUACAAAUAAGUUUCCCCUUUCACUCCUGUUUUCUUUAACUUAGCCAAUCUACAAUCUACAACCCCCAAGGGAAAGAUAAUGCCCAUGAACCUUAAUAAAGGCACAGUCCCACAGGUCCUUCCUCCCUUUUUCUUUCCUUCUCUCUUACUCCCCUAUCCUCUGGUUGAGCUCCCUGCCACCUCCAGUCUUCCCACUGCCACCCCUCAGCAACCUUUCUGCACUCUGCAAAUUACAAAUUUCUUCUCUCUCAUGCAUUUUGGUUUAACUUUCUUACUGUGUCUCACCUGACACACCUGAAUAUAACCCUUCCCUGCCAACCAGGGCUCUCCUAAAGAGUGGCUAUCCUGG